AGAUUGAACGCUGGCGGCAUGCCUUACACAUGCAAGUCGAACGGCAGCACGGGAGCAAUCCUGGUGGCGAGUGGCGAACGGGUGAGUAAUAUAUCGGAACGUGCCCAGUCGUGGGGGAUAACGUAGAGAAAUUUACGCUAAUACCGCAUACGAUCCAAGGAUGAAAGCGGGGGACCGUAAGGCCUCGCGCGACUGGAGCGGCUGAUAUCAGAUUAGCUUGUUGGUGAGGUAAAAGCUCACCAAGGCGACGAUCUGUAGCUGGUUUGAGAGAACGACCAGCCACACUGGGACUGAGACACGGCCCAGACUCCUACGGGAGGCAGCAGUGGGAAUUUUGGACAAUGGGCGAAAGCCUGAUCCAGCAAUGCCGCGUGCAGGGAAGAAGGCCUUCGGUUGUAAACUGUCUUUUGUACGGUAGACGGAAAAGGUCUAGGCCCUAAGUACCGGACGGACCCAGUCGAACCGGUUACCGUAAGGAAACUAAGACACCGG
rnacentral:rRNA from 1 species